rnacentral:rRNA from 1 species
GAUUUAUUGAUUGUCUUGUGUUUAAUUUUUUAGUUUAUUCAUAUUUAUUUUAUUGAAAUAUCAUUAUUUGUUGUUGUAUUACUUUGAUUUAAUUUUUUAAACGAUAGAUUAUUUGUGCUGUGAGGGGUUGAAAAUUAGGGUUAAAUGUUUUUAGGGAAGUUGAUUUUGUUUAUCGUACCUUGUGUAUCAGGGUUCAUUGAAUUUUAUUAUUUAUUUUUAUUUCCCGAUUUUAAAGGAGUUAAUAACUUAUGUUAGUUACUGUUUUACUAGUAUUAAUAAUAGGUUAUUGGUAAUGAAACGUUAUUCGUCUUUAAUGGUUUCUGGUUUUUCAAGAAAUGAAUUUAAUUCAUGUAUCAUAUUUAAUUUCUGUUAUUUUUCUAUUUAUUUUUAUUUGAUGCUAAGAUUGAGGGGGAUUAGCUCCUUAUUUUAUUAUUAUAAUUAUUUUAUUAAAGAUUUAUUUUUGUGGAUUUUAUAGUGAUUUUCAAUUUGAUUAUGUUAAAAUUUUACUUGUUCUUUUAUUUAUUUAUUUAAAUUUAAUUGUUUUAUUGGAAUAUUUUCUUUACUUUAGGUUUGUAUAGUAAUUAUUGUGGAAUUAGUAAAUUUUAUUUUUAUUCCGUGAAAUUUAAUGAGAGUGUUAAUUAUUUUUAAGGAAUUCGGCAAACAAUUUGUGUCCGCCUGUUUAACAAAAACAUCUUUUCUUGUUAGUUUUUGAAGUAUGGCCUGCCCACUGACAUUAUAAGUUAAAGGGCCGCGGUAUUUUGACCGUGCAAAGGUAGCAUAAUCAUUAGUUCUUUAAUUGUGAUCUGGUAUGAAUGGCUUGACGAGACAUCAGCUGUCUUGAGAGUAUUAUUUAUUGAAUUUGGUUUUUGAGUUAAAAUUCUUAAAUGUUUUUAUGGGACGAGAAGACCCUAUAGAGUUUAACAUUUGUUCUAGUUAUAUUUUAUUUUGUUUGUUUUUUAUUUAAAUUGGUAUAAAUGUUUUGUUGGGGUGAUGGGAGGAAUGAUUUUAACUCCUCUUUGUUUUAAGGCGUAUAUUUAUAUAUAUUUGUUUUGAUCCAUUUAUUUUGAUUAUAAGAUUAAAUUACCUUAGGGAUAACAGCGUUAUCUUCCCUGAGAGUUCUUAUUGGCGGGGAGGUUUGCGACCUCGAUGUUGGAUUAAGGUGAAUUUUCGGUGCAGGAGCUGGAAUAUUAUUAGGUCUGUUCGACCUUUAAAACCUUACAUGAUCUGAGUUCAGACCGGCGUGAGCCAGGUUGGUUUCUAUCUAUAAUAGUAUUUUAUAUCUUAGUACGAGAGGACCGGGUAUUUGGAAUAAUUUUAUUUUAUCUGAUUGUUAUUAACAUGUUUACUAUUUUGGCAGAUAAGUGCAU